AACCAACCGACCGAGCCAGUUUUCCCCGUGCCAGACCCACUCCGAACCCGCUCGGCCCACCCCCGCUCCAAUCACCCCCUCGUCUCCUCCCCCAACCCGACCUCUUCCUGAUCCAAAAAUCAACACGGCCUCCGUGAGCGGCAGGAGCGCGCGCGGCAGCCUCGAGCGAGAGGUAGCACGGCGGCUAAUAGCGGGAUAGCCGCGGGCGAGCGGCGGGGCGCAGAAGCGAAAGCGGCAAGCGGGGCGUGGAGGCUGCAGUGGCGGUGAGCAGCAUCGCGGGGCUGUGGCGGCAUUGAGCAGCGUGGUGCGGAGGCUGCUCGUCGGCGUCCUCGAGCGGCCGGGGGUGCGGCACCGGUGAUGGAGUGCGGCGGGGCGAGCGGCCGCCGCGGUCUCCACACACCCGCCUGGGCCCUUCGCGCACCGAGCGGUGUCUCGGGGUUUCCGGAUGCCGGCGUUCUCCCCAUCCUUGCAUUUGGCCCUUGCACCUCGAUCUGUGGGAAAAGCUACCUGAAAGCAUCCCUACUCCGCGCACCUUACCGUCCCUCCCCUGCAUGGUCCUGACGAGCAGCAGGUUAAAGAAGCGUCCUGAUCCUUCACGAGGUACUCCGGUUUUCUUGGGGUAUAUUGGAAAUGAAGACACGUUGAUCCCAUCAAGCUAGUCGUUAAGUAAGCAACGGCGCUAACAAAUUGAGGUGAGAACAACACGAGUAAUGUUUAAUACUCAAAAUCACCCCAUUUUUAUUGGCGAUUACUGAAUAUUUUUUAUGCUCUAAACAAUGCUCAAUGUUAGGUAGUUAGGCUAGUAGUUUUUGUUAGGAUUUAGUAUCAGUAACUUUUUAGGUUUCGUAGAUAGCCCAGUAUUUUUUUAUUACUGAUGCUUGAUGAUAAAGAACUAAACCUCAAUUCUGUUGGAUAUGGGGUAUGGUUACCCUACUGGCCUCGCUUACGAUAUGUGUUCAGUAAUCCAGUAAUACUUACAAAUAUCAGUAAUCUCUGAAUUCCCUAGAAUUUCUUGCUUAUUUUUUAGUAAUUCUUUGUAAACCAGUAAUACUAUGUAGCACUCUAGUUAUUCUCAGUAAAGCAGUAACCCGAUAAUUCAGUAUCCUGCGGGUCUUGCUCUGUUUUUGUCAAUAAUCUUUUCAAAGUUUUACUAGUGGCAGGUUCAUAUGGCAUGACACCCUUUUCCAACUCUAUCACCUCAUGCACAUGAUAGUGAUAGUACUGAACUUCACAAGGGAGAGGGUUCCAAGUGAAGACUAAGAGGCCUCAAUUGUAUUUUUAAGAUUUUUUCGAAGGCGGCAUGAUACAGUUAAUUGUGACUAAUAUUUGUACAUAUGUGUAGCCUAGACAAUACAUGUAUAUGUUUGGAUUCAGUAAUCCAUAGAAGCCUUUUUAUUUCUGCAGUAUGCCCUUCUCCAUUAUUUCUCUGGUGUUGCUGGUGAAUCAUUAUUUUCUAGUAACACCCCUGUACAUGCUUGGAUUCAGUAAUAGGGAGAUCCAGUUAUUCAGUA